GGAUAUUGGGCAAUGGGCGAAAGCCUGACCCAGCAACGCCGCGUGAAGGAUGAAGGCCCUCGGGUCGUAAACUUCUGUCGAGAGGGAAGAAUGCGUACGGGUGAACAAUCCGUGCGUUUGACGGUACCUCCAAAGGAAGCACCGGCUAACUCCGUGCCAGCAGCCGCGGUAAUACGGAGGGUGCAAGCGUUGUUCGGAUUCAUUGGGCGUAAAGCGAGUGUAGGCGGUUCGACAAGUCGGAUGUGAAAUC
rnacentral:rRNA from 1 species